GAUGAACGCUGGCGGCGUGCCUAAUACAUGCAAGUCGAGCGAACAGACGAGGAGCUUGCUCCUUUGACGUUAGCGGCGGACGGGUGAGUAACACGUGGGUAACCUACCUAUAAGACUGGGAUAACUUCGGGAAACCGGAGCUAAUACCGGAUAAUAUUUCGAACCGCAUGGUUCGAUAGUGAAAGAUGGCUUUGCUAUCACUUAUAGAUGGACCUGCGCCGUAUUAGCUAGUUGGUAAGGUAACGGCUUACCAAGGCAACGAUACGUAGCCGACCUGAGAGGGUGAUCGGCCACACUGGAACUGAGACACGGUCCAGUCUCCUACGGGAGGCAGCAGUAGGGAAUCUUCCGCAAAGGGCGAAAGCCUGACGGAGCAACGCCGCGUGAGUGAUGAAGGUCUUCGGAUCGUAAAACUCUGUUAUUAGGGAAGAACAAACGUGUAAGUAACUGUGCACGUCUUGACGGUACCUAAUCAGAAAGCCACGGCUAACUACGUG
rnacentral:rRNA from 1 species